AUUGAACGCUGGCGGAAUGCUUUACACAUGCAAGUCGAGCGGCAGCGCGGGGCAACCUGGCGGCGAGCGGCGAACGGGUGAGUAACACAUCGGAACGUACCUUGUAGUGGGGGAUAACUAUCCGAAAGGAUAGCUAAUACCGCAUACGACCUGAGGGAGAAAGCGGGGGAUCGCACGACCUCGCGCUGGAAGAGCGGCCGAUGUCAGAUUAGCUAGUUGGUAGGGUAAAGGCCUACCAAGGCGACGAUCGGUAGCGGGUCUGAGAGGACGGCCCGCCACACUGGGACUGAGACACGGCCCAGACUCCUAUGGGAGGCAGCAGUGGGGAAUUUUGGACAAUGGGGGCAACCCUGAUCCAGCCAUUCCGCGUGAGUGAAGAAGGCCUUCGGGUUGUAAAGCUCUUUCGGCAGGAACGAAACGGCUCUCUCUAACAUAGGGGGCUAAUGACGGUACCUGAAGAAGAAGCACCGGCUAACUACGUGCCAGCAGCCGCCGUAACAC
rnacentral:rRNA from 1 species